rnacentral:rRNA from 2 species
UUGACCUCAAAUCAGGUAGGACUACCCGCUGAACUUAAGCAUAUCAAUAAGCGGAGGAAAAGAAACUAACAAGGAUUCCCCUAGUAACUGCGAGUGAAGCGGGAAAAGCUCAAAUUUAAAAUCUGGCGGUCUUUGGCCGUUCGAGUUGUAAUCUAGAGAAGUGUUACCCGCGCUGGACCGUGUACAAGUCUCCUGGAAUGGAGCGUCAUAGAGGGUGAGAAUCCCGUCUUUGACACGGACUGCCAGGGCUAUGUGGUGCGCUCUCAACGAGUCGAGUUGUUUGGGAAUGCAGCUCAAAAUGGGUGGUAAAUUCCAUCUAAAGCUAAAUAUUGGCGAGAGACCGAUAGCGAACAAGUACCGUGAGGGAAAGAUGAAAAGAACUUUGGAAAGAGAGUUAAACAGUACGUGAAAUUGCUGAAAGGGAAACGCUUGAAGUCAGUCGCGUUGGCCGGAAAUCAACCUUGCUUUUGCUGGGCGUACUUUCUGGUCGACGGGUCAGCAUCAAUUUUGACCGUUGGAUAAAGGCCAGGGGAAUGUGGCAUCUUCGGAUGUGUUAUAGCCCUUGGUUGCAUACAGCGGUUGGGAUUGAGGAACUCAGCA